UCGCCGUCAUUAGAUGCUUGAAGUUUGCAGAAUGGAAAGCACCUUGCUGGAGCAAUUAUUUUCUCUAAUGUGUGAAAAUAUACCGACAAAAGAAAUGGUACUUCUUGCUGACCUGAAUCUGUAGCUUGGAGAAUGAUUGAUUAAAAUUUGAUAUGAAGGAUUUAUGAGUGGGGUGUUUCAUCUUCAAUUCCUUAUACUUGAUGCAGUCAUCCACAUCUGAUGAUGGGCCCAGUAACUGAACAGCCAGGUCAAAAGGUGUCUUCUUUCUACUAGAUGCUGAAAUAUAAAAAAAAAUGUAUGUUGUGCUGGUAGCUGUCUGUUGACUCAGAUGCCAAGUCUACAAAACAUCAGUAGUUUCUGGAUGAUGACCUGAAGUGAUGCAUUUCUGGACCUUCAUUGUGACAAGGUUCAUCAUAAGGACCAUCAUGAAAGAUCAUGUUGCCGUCUUCCAUGUGCCACCAAACUCCUUCGCCAGAAAACAGAUUUGAAAGGAGAUCGAAUCAGAUAGACAAAUUCGUCUACAAGCCUGAUGACCAAGACUAGUGAAAUUACCAGGGGAACUUGAUAAAUCAACACACAAGAAGUCAAAUGAGCUUCUGCAUUCAUUCUCAUAAUCUAUACUACUGGACAACAACUUUCUCAAAACCAGAGCGUACUUGGUUGAUCAAUUUAUGUGUUGCAGCCCACAGAGAAAAAUAACAAAAGGACCAAGAACUAACACUACAACUGAAUUGUUUAAAAUCAUCCGAAGUUUGCAUUUGAUGUACAUGUAUAUUGCUUUAUAGCUUUGUGUUAUAAAUUUGAUAAUACAAUUUCAGAGAAAUAUGAAAUAAAUUUGAUAGUACAAUUUCA